UACGAAGGGGGCUAGCGUUGCUCGGAAUCACUGGGCGUAAAGCGCACGUAGGCGGAUCGCUAAGUCAGGGGUGAAAUCCUGGAGCUCAACUCCAGAACUGCCUUUGAUACUGGCAAUCUCGAGUCCGGGAGAGGUGAGUGGAACUGCGAGUGUAGAGGUGAAAUUCGUAGAUAUUCGCAAGAACACCAGUGGCGAAGGCGGCUCACUGGCCCGGUACUGAUGCUGAGGUGCGAAAGCGUGGGGAGCAAACAGG
rnacentral:rRNA from 1 species